UUGACAGCUUUGGAGACAGAAAUGCUCUGUUUAUCCACAGAAGGGAUACAGCUUGGGCAGCAUCAGUGCAAGCAGUGCAAGCUUUCCCUACCUUGCUCCAUCCGUGUGCCUUUGCCAUCUCAAUGGAUGACGAUAGUUCAGUGUUGAAUGCUGACUCGGUCAUUGGCUUCU
rnacentral:sRNA from 1 species